rnacentral:rRNA from 1 species
GGUCAAUAGCCUGACGGCUGAACCAGCAACUUGGAGGAAUGUAUAGCAAUAGCUACUUGCAUCAUUGUAAAAAUGAUGCAGGAUCGACUAUGUCGAAUAAAAUUCUAGGUAGAAUUUUGAUAAUGACAAUUUCUGCCUAUGUGUCUUGACCAAAUUACGUGCCAGCAGUCGCGGUAAUACGUAGAAGACUAGUGUUAUUCAUGUUUAAUCGGUUUAAAGGGUACCUAGACGGUAAAUCAAGCCUAAAAUUAUAUUAAGGGACUAAUUUACUAGAGUUACUUAUGAGGGGGUAUUAAAGUACUGCUGGUGUAGAGAUGAAAUUCUGUCAUACCUCUUUUCAAUAGAAAAAUAAUGGCACAGGUAUAGGCGAAAGCAUCCCCUUAUGUGAUAACUGACGUUGAGGGACGAAGGCUUUGUGUAGCGAACAGGAUUAGAUACCCCAGUAGUCAAAGCAGAAAAUGAUGAAUGUCAUAGAUUAGAUAUAUAAGUUUAUUCUAUAAAUGAAAGUGUAAGCAUUCCACCUCAAGAGUAAUUUGGCAACAUUGGAACUGAAAUCAUUAGACCGUUUCUGAAACCAGUAGUGAAGUAUGUUGUUUAAUUUGAUGAUCCGCAAAAAACCUUACCACAAUUUGAAUAUUUAUAUCUAUUAUUGUUUUUUAUUUUCUUCUGAUUUGAUUUUUGAGGCAAUAUGAUAUAUUUACAAGCGUUGCACGGCUGUCUUCAGUUAAUGUCGCGAGACUUUGGUUAGUUCCAUUAAAUUAACGUAAACCCUUACUUUAUUUUUAUAUAGAGUAGUUCCCCGCUAUAUUGGAUAUGAUAACAGGCACUAAGACAAGUCAUCAUGGCCUAAAUAUUGUGGGCU